UAAAAUCGAAAAUGAUCGCCAGAAAACAGUGGGAGCUUUUUCUGGAAGAAAUGGGGGUGGAGGGGAAAGUGACCAGGCAACAGGCUUCUAAGAAGUGGGAGAACCUUAAAAAGAAGUACAAGGCCCGCUCUAUCACAGAACGCACCUUGGAUUGGCGGUAAUUAAAGCGUUGCUGCACCCGCCCAAUCACCGGCUCUUUAUAGGGAGUCAACAGACAUACGGGCGUCUGGAGGCAGGGGUACCCACCAUCACCUAAAAGCAUGUAACCCGGCGGUGGAUACCUGGCAGUCAAAUAAAAAUAACUGUUUUUCAUUACCCUUGUCCUUUAUGUUUCUUG